rnacentral:rRNA from 1 species
CAGCCGCCACGGGAACACGUAGGGUGCGAGCGUUAAUCGGAAUUACUGGGCGUAAAGCGUGCGCAGGCGGUUUUGUAAGACAGGCGUGAAAUCCCCGGGCUCAACCUGGGAAUGGCGCUUGUGACUGCAAAGCUAGAGUGCGGCAGAGGGGGAUGGAAUUCCGCGUGUAGCAGUGAAAUGCGUAGAUAUGCGGAGGGACACCGAUGGCGAAGGCAAUCCCCUGGGCCUGCACUGACGCUCAUGCACGAAAGCGUGGGGAGCAAACAGGAUUAGAUACCCCUGUAGUCCCUGUCUCUUAUAC